CAGCCGCCGCGGGAACACGAAGGGUGCAAGCGUUAAUCGGAAUUACUGGGCGUAAAGCGUGCGUAGGCGGUGAGUUAAGUCUGCUGUGAAAUCCCCGGGCUCAACCUGGGAAUGGCAGUGGAUACUGGCUCGCUAGAGUGUGUCAGAGGAUGGUGGAAUUCCCGGUGUAGCGGUGAAAUGCGUAGAGAUCGGGAGGAACAUCAGUGGCGAAGGCGGCCAUCUGGGACAACACUGACGCUGAGGCACGAAAGCGUGGGGAGCAAACAGGAUUAGAUACCCCAGUAGUCCCUGUCUCUUAUAC
rnacentral:rRNA from 1 species